rnacentral:lncRNA from 1 species
UGACAUGUAUCUUUAAAAAAAAAUAAACAAUUUUUAUAUCUUAUUUUUGAAAAAAAUAUAUUUUAAAAUGAAAUGAAUACAUCUGAUUUUAUUUCCCACUAUCUCUAAUCUCUAUAACUGCUCAAAUUCUCACUAUCUCAACGAUUUUAUGAAACUACUUAAAUAACCAUAAGUUUUUACUCUUCGCAAUAACCAACACUACUCUAUUCUUUUUUCUUUCGACACUACUCUGCUCUACUAUCCUAAUAAAACACCAAAUGUCUAUAAUUUUGAGGGUUCAUUUGGUGAAUCAUUGUGUCAAUUUCAUUAAUAUUUAGGUUAAUGGGAACAUUGUGUAAGUAUUGUCUACAGUUCUCUUAUAUUGAAUUGUGAUUAAAUAUUUAUAUAUUAGUUUAACACUUUUUCGAAAUUCACAGACAAAACCAAUGAAGAUUACGAUGAAUACUGUGAACACCAUCAACAUUUAUUGGAGUCUAUACAUUGUUUUCGAACAGGUUUCUUUUUGUUGCUUAUUUUGUUGGAUCUGUAAUCCAUCUCAAGCAAUUUUGUAUAUGAAUCUCUUUGUAUAUUUACUUAAUUUAAUUUUUCAAUUUUUUAACAGAAGGGGUCAAAGCUGUGAGUAGGAGAAGGAAAUCAAAAUUGUUGUUUGUGGUUUUGAGUAGAAGUUUAUCAAAGGUAGAAAGAGCUUCCUCAGGGACUUCCUCGAAUGAUACAAUUUUUAGAUAAAAAUGGGUCAACAUGCCGAGCACAAACACACAAUUCACAGCGUUACCAAAUAUUUCCCUUAACCUUUUUUUCUUUCCUUUUCUAAAACGGCCAUGUGAACUCUGGGUCUGCGGCAGUGGCAGCUCAUAUGAGUUUUUUUUUUGUAAAGACUCAUGGAUUAGUUUUGUUAUAUAAAAUUGAAAAUUAGCAUGUGUUUCUUAUAACUUUGAUUUCUAAUUGCAUCUUAAGUUGUUUGGAAAGUAAAACAAAAACAAAACGAC